AUUGAACGCUGGCGGAAUGCUUUACACAUGCAAGUCGAACGGCAGCACGGACUUCGGUCUGGUGGCGAGUGGCGAACGGGUGAGUAAUAUAUCGGAACGUGCCCAGUCGUGGGGGAUAACGUAGCGAAAGCUACGCUAAUACCGCAUACGAUCUACGGAUGAAAGCGGGGGAUCGCAAGACCUCGCGCGAUUGGAGCGGCCGAUAGCAGAUUAGGUAGUUGGUGAGGUAAAGGAUCACCAAGCCGACGAUCUGUAGCUGGUCUGAGAGGACGACCAGCCACACUGGGACUGAGACACGGCCCAGACUCCAACGGGAGGCAGCAGUGGGGAAUUUUGGACAAUGGACGCAAGUCUGAGCCAGCCAUUCCGCGUGCAGGACUAAGGCCUUCGGGUUGUAAACUGCUUUUGUACAGAACGAAAAGGUCUCUAUUAAUACUAGGGGCUCAUGACGGUACUGUAAGAAUAGCACCGGCUAACUACGUGCCAGCAGCCGCGGUAA
rnacentral:rRNA from 1 species